rnacentral:rRNA from 1 species
GGCCCGCACAAGCGGUGGAGUAUGUGGUUUAAUUCGAUGCAACGCGAAGAACCUUACCAGGGUUUGACAUCCUGCGAAUCUCUUGGAAACGAGAGAGUGCCUUCGGGAGCGCAGUGACAGGUGGUGCAUGGCUGUCGUCAGCUCGUGUCGUGAGAUGUUGGGUUAAGUCCCGCAACGAGCGCAACCCACGUCUUUAUGUUGCCAGCAUUUUAGUUGGGCACUCUAGAGAGACCGCCGGUGAUAAACCGGAGAAGGUGUGGAUGACGUCAAGUCAUCAUGCCCCUUACAUCCUGGGCUACACACGUACUACAAUGCUACGGACAAAGAGCAGCAAGUUCGCGAGGACAAGCAAAUCUCAUAAACCGUGGCUCAGUUCAGA